rnacentral:rRNA from 1 species
GAUGAACGCUGGCGGCGUGCCUAAUACAUGCAAGUCGAGCGAACGGACGAGAAGCUUGCUUCUCUGAUGUUAGCGGCGGACGGGUGAGUAACACGUGGAUAACCUACCUAUAAGACUGGGAUAACUUCGGGAAACCGGAGCUAAUACCGGAUAAUAUUUUGAACCGCAUGGUUCAAAAGUGAAAGACGGUCUUGCUGUCACUUAUAGAUGGAUCCGCGCUGCAUUAGCUAGUUGGUAAGGUAACGGCUUACCAAGGCAACGAUGCAUAGCCGACCUGAGAGGGUGAUCGGCCACACUGGAACUGAGACACGGUCCAGACUCCUACGGGAGGCAGCAGUAGGGAAUCUUCCGCAAUGGGCGAAAGCCUGACGGAGCAACGCCGCGUGAGUGAUGAAGGUCUUCGGAUCGUAAAACUCUGUUAUUAGGGAAGAACAUAUGUGUAAGUAACUGUGCACAUCUUGACGGUACCUAAUCAGAAAGCCACGGCUAACUACGUGCCAGCAGCCGCGGUAAUACGUAGGUGGCAAGCGUUAUCCGGAAUUAUUGGGCGUAAAGCGCGCGUAGGCGGUUUUUUAAGUCUGAUGUGAAAGCCCACGGCUCAACCGUGGAGGGUCAUUGGAAACUGGAAAACUUGAGUGCAGAAGAGGAAAGUGGAAUUCCAUGUGUAGCGGUGAAAUGCGCAGAGAUAUGGAGGAACACCAGUGGCGAAGGCGACUUUCUGGUCUGUAACUGACGCUGAUGUGCGAAAGCGUGGGGAUCAAACAGGAUUAGAUACCCUGGUAGUCCGCGCCGUAAACGAUGAGUGCUAAGUGUUAGGGGGUUUCCGCCCCUUAGUGCUGCAGCUAACGCAUUAAGCACUCCGCCUGGGGAGUACGACCGCAAGGUUGAAACUCAAAGGAAUUGACGGGGACCCGCACAAGCGGUGGAGCAUGUGGUUUAAUUCGAAGCAACGCGAAGAACCUUACCAAAUCUUGACAUCCUUUGACAACUCUAGAGAUAGAGCCUUCCCCUUCGGGGGACAAAGUGACAGGUGGUGCAUGGUUGUCGUCAGCUCGUGUCGUGAGAUGUUGGGUUAAGUCCCGCAACGAGCGCAACCCUUAAGCUUAGUUGCCAUCAUUAAGUUGGGCACUCUAAGUUGACUGCCGGUGACAAACCGGAGGAAGGUGGGGAUGACGUCAAAUCAUCAUGCCCCUUAUGAUUUGGGCUACACACGUGCUACAAUGGACAAUACAAAGGGCAGCGAAACCGCGAGGUCAAGCAAAUCCCAUAAAGUUGUUCUCAGUUCGGAUUGUAGUCUGCAACUCGACUACAUGAAGCUGGAAUCGCUAGUAAUCGUAGAUCGGCAUGCUACGGUGAAUACGUUCCCGGGUCU